rnacentral:piRNA from 1 species
UGAUGAAUGUGUCCAGCUGCUUAUA